CCUACGGGAGGCAGCAGUAAGGAAUAUUGGUCAAUGGACGCAAGUCUGAACCAGCCAUGCCGCGUGAAGGAUGAAGGCCCUCUGGGUUGUAAACUUCUUUUAUCUGGGACGAAAAAAGGGCAUUCUUGCUCACCUGACGGUACCAGAGGAAUAAGCACCGGCUAACUCCGUGCCAGCAGCCGCGGUAAUACGGAGGGUGCAAGCGUUAUCCGGAUUUACUGGGUUUAAAGGGUGCGUAGGUGGGUUGGUAAGUCAGUGGUGAAAUCUCCGAGCUUAACUCGGAAACUGCCAUUGAUACUAUCAAUCUUGAAUACUUUGGAGGUAAGCGGAAUAUGUCAUGUAGCGGUGAAAUGCUUAGAUAUGACAUAGAACACCAAUUGCGAAGGCAGCUUACUACACAGUCAUUGACACUGAGGCACGAAAGCGUGGGGAUCAAACAGGAUUAGAUACCCUGGUAGUCCACGCCCUAAACGAUGGAUACUCGACAUCAGCGAUACACUGUUGGUGUCUGAGCGAAAGCAUUAAGUAUCCCACCUGGGAAGUACGAUCGCAGAUUGAAACUCAAAUGAAUUGACGG
rnacentral:rRNA from 1 species